rnacentral:rRNA from 1 species
CCUACGGGAGGCAGCAGUGGGGAAUAUUGCGCAAUGGGCGAAAGCCUGACGCAGCGACGCCGCGUGAGGGAUGACGGCCUUCGGGUUGUAAACCUCUUUCAGCUCUGACGCGGUAGGAGCAGAAGAAGCACCGGCCAACUACGUGCCAGCAGCCGCGGUAAUACGUAGGGUGCAAGCGUUGUCCGGAAUUAUUGGGCGUAAAGAGCUCGUAGGCGGUCUGUCGCGUCGAAUGUGAAAACCCGGGGCUCAACCCCGGGCCUGCAUUCGAUACGGGCAGACUAGAGUUCGGUAGGGGAGUCUGGAAUUCCUGGUGUAGCGGUGAAAUGCGCAGAUAUCAGGAGGAACACCGGUGGCGAAGGCGGGACUCUGGGCCGAACUGACGCUGAGGAGCGAAAGCGUGGGGAGCGAACAGGAUUAGAUACCCUUGUAGUC